rnacentral:rRNA from 1 species
UACGAAGGGUGCUAGCGUUGUUCGGAAUUACUGGGCGUAAAGCGCGCGUAGGCGGCGAUACAAGUCAGGGGUGAAAUCCUGGGGCUUAACCCCAGAAUUGCCUUUGAUACUGAAGAUCUUGAGUUCGGGAGAGGUGAGUGGAACUGCGAGUGUAGAGGUGAAAUUCGUAGAUAUUCGCAAGAACACCAGUGGCGAAGGCGGCUCACUGGCCCGAUACUGACGCUGAUGCACGAAAGCGUGGGGAGCAAACAGG